AAGUUGCAAGCUUUAUUUUGACUACUCGAACAGCACUAGAGAGAAACUGAGGAAAUAAUACCCCCAAAAAAAAUACGAAGAAGAAGUAGAAGAGAAGAUGAGUAGCAUAGGAACUGGUUACGAUCUAUCAGUUACAACAUUCUCUCCUGAUGGUCGCGUAUUCCAGAUCGAAUACGCAUCCAAAGCUGUUGAUAACAGCGGUACUGUAAUUGGAAUUAAAUGCAAAGAUGGCAUAGUUUUGGGUGUAGAGAAAUUGGUUGCAUCGAAGAUGAUGUUGCCUGGUUCAAAUCGUAGAAUACACGCUGUUCAUCGUCAUUCUGGCAUGGCUGUGGCUGGAUUAGCUGCUGAUGGGAGGCAAAUUGUUGCUAGGACAAAGGCUGAAGCAAUCAACUAUGAAAAGACAUACGGGGAAGCUAUACCAGUGAAGGAACUUGCUGAGCGUGUUGCUAGUUACGUCCAUCUUUGCACACUUUACUGGUGGAUGAGACCUUUUGGGUGUGGAGUUAUCCUUGGAGGUUAUGACAGAGACGGUCCACAGUUAUACAUGGUUGAACCAUCUGGCAUUUCCCACAGGUAUUAUGGAGCUGCAAUCGGAAAGGGUAGGCAGGCUGCUAAGACGGAGAUUGAAAAGUUGAACCUUUCUGAAAUGUCAUGUAGGGAGGGGAUUGUUGAAGUUGCUAAGAUUAUCUACAGCGUGCAUGAUGAAGCAAAGGAUAAGGCUUUUGAGUUGGAAAUGAGCUGGGUAUGUGAUGAGUCGAACCGCCUACAUCAGAAGGUUCCAGAGGAGCUUCUCGAACAAGCAAUAACGAUGGCAAAAGCAGCUUUGGAAGAAAUGGAUGCUGACUAAUUCAGCUUUGGAAGAAAUGGAUGCUGACUAAUUCAACAUCUUAGUCUCAAUGUUUCUUUUUCUGUUGUCUCUUGGAUUUUAUGUAGUGGUUAUUGGGGUCGUUUCAGGUAAUGACUAGAGUCAUAUUGUGGAUGAGUCUUCAUCUGCUGUUUUUUUAUGUCAAUUGACUCCAUCCAAACCUUGUGUAAAGCUCGAGCGGGUCUCCCCGAUUCUUCUUUAUGCAGUAUCACUUGUACUAGUAUCCAUUCUGAUCAAGGCUUGAACUGGAGUGCAGUAAGUAAAAAUUUCCAUGAAUCUGGCUUAUAUAUUACUGGAGUGAUUUUUUUUUUGUUUAAAAAUGCAAACAAGAGUAUUAUUAAAUCAACGCUGAGUUCUUAUCCAACAAUAGUUGAGACUCUUAA